rnacentral:rRNA from 1 species
UACAGAGGUCCCAAGCGUUGUUCGGAUUCACUGGGCGUAAAGGGUGCGUAGGUGGUCGGGUAAGUCUGAUGUGAAAUCUCCGGGCCUAACCCGGAAACUGCAUCGGAUACUAUUCGGCUAGAGGGUUGGAGGGGGGACUGGAAUACUUGGUGUAGCAGUGAAAUGCGUAGAUAUCAAGUGGAACACCAGUGGCGAAGGCGAGUCCCUGGACAACUCCUGACGCUGAGGCACGAAAGCUAGGGGAGCAAACAGG